rnacentral:rRNA from 1 species
AUGCUCAGAAGACGUCACUUUAACAUCAAUGAUGAAUUCAACUGCGUCCUUUGUAACUCUGGGGUUCAAGAAACUAUUGAGCAUUUAAUCUUCACGUGUCCUUUUAGCUCUUCUUGCUGGGUGAAAGUGGGGAUCGCUUGGAACAUGAAUCGAUCCAGAAUUGAUGCCAUCCAAACUGCCAGACGUUCUUUUAAAGGGGAACUUUUCUUUGAAAUUGUGGGGAUUGUGGCCUGGAAUAUCUGGAAGGAAAGAAACAACUAUAUUUUCAGGCAUAUACCACCAUCUUUGGCAGCUUGGAGAGAGAGAUCCAAGGCAGAUCUCCUUUGGCUAAAAUUUAGAGUGGACAAAGCUCAUUGGGACUACAUAACUUUAUUUGCCUUAGAUUUGUAA